GCAGCUCAGUGGUAGAGUGCUCACUUAGCAUGUGCAAGACCCUGGGUUCAAUCCCCAGUACCUGCC
rnacentral:tRNA from 1 species